rnacentral:lncRNA from 1 species
CCUCUACAAGCAUGACUUGCGCGGAUCGAAAUCAAGGGUUGAUUGAAGAUGGAUCAAGAAGUUGAUCGCAAUUGGACCUAGGGGAUCAAGGUCGAGUCAAGAGUUGAAGACGAUAUAACCAAUUGACGUGCAUGUGCUUGUACUAUGACCCCAUCCUGGAUCCAUGAUCAUCACCAGUUACAUUUAUUUUUGUGAUUAUGUAUGGAUGUUUAUGUUUAUAUUUAUGCAUAGCGGGU